GUGAGGAAUAUUGCGCAAUGGAGGCAACUCUGACGCAGCCAUGCCGCGUGCAGGAAGAAGGCGCUACGCGUUGUAAACUGCUUUUAACCGGGAAGAAACCCCAGGACGUGUCCUGGGUUGACGGUACCGGAGGAAUAAGCACCGGCUAACUUCGUGCCAGCAGCCGCGGUAAUACGAAGGGUGCAAGCGUUAUCCGGAUUCAUUGGGUUUAAAGGGUGCGUAGGCGGAGCGUUAAGUCAGUGGUGAAAUCCUGCAGCUUAACUGUAGACUUGCCAUUGAUACUGGCGCUCUUGAGUGCGCUUGAAGUGGGCGGAAUGUGCCGUGUAGCGGUGAAAUGCUUAGAUAUGGCACAGAACACCAAUUGCGAAGGCAGCUCACUAAGGCGAUACUGACGCUGAGGCACGAAAGCGUGGGGAUCAAACAGGAUUAGAAACCCGAGUAGUCC
rnacentral:rRNA from 1 species